AGUGAGUGGGCGAACGGGUAGGUAACACGUGAGUAACCUGCCCUCUUCUUUGGGUAUAACGCCCCGGAAACGGGUGGCUAAUACUGGAUAUUCACUGAUCUUCGCAUGGGGGUUGGGUGGAAAGGUUUUUUCUUGGUGGGGGAUGGGCUCGCGGCCUAUCAGCUUGUUGGUGGGGUGAUGGCCUACCAAGGCUUUGACGGGUAGCCGGCCUGAGAGGGUGACCGGUCACAUUGGGACUGAGAUACGGCCCAG
rnacentral:rRNA from 1 species